AAAAAAGCCAGUAAACCCGAAAAUCAGACCGGCCGGCAUAAUAGAUCUUCUCCUCUGAGUAGGGGUGGGCAAAAAAGCCAGUAAACCCGAAAAACCGGCCCGGCCAGACCUGUCCGGUUCAGGUUUUUUUUUUAAUUUUUUUUUAAAUUAUUUGUAAGUUUUUACUGGCCCGGGCCCAUAUAUAUAAAUUUCAGGCCAAUCCUGGUUCUGGACUUUGAAAUAUAUUAAAGCCCGUUGGGCCCAAAUACUUUAUUAAAAUAUCAUAGAUGUAUAUGUUUUUUUUAUUAUGUGUCAUUAAAAUAUCAAUUAUCUAUAACUUAUUCCUUCUAUGGGCCCGAGUACUUCUUUUUCUUUUUCUUCUUCCUCAUCUUCAUCUUCCUUCAGUUCGGCUAAUUCCUCAAUUUCCAGUCCCAGCCUAAAUCCCAACGGACCCAGCCUCUCAUCUCUUCUAAAAGAAGCUUUCCCGAUUCUUCUUCUUUUUGCUCAUUCACAGUCUCGUGCCUGGUGAGGAUUCCUGUAACGGAAUUUGGUUGGCGUUGUUUCGGGGAAGCGAAGGAAACGGAUCGAGUCUUUGAGCGGGUGGAGGAGGUCGAGAGAUGGUGGAGCGGGAUGGUCUUUGAUUGAUGUUUUGGUUCGAUGGUUCUGGAAUGAGGGAUUGAUAUUCAGGUGGCUAAGCUCCGGUGCUUGGAGAUAUGGUUGUCGGCGAGAGGGCUGGGCAAAAAAGCCCGUCAGCCAGGAAAAACCGGCCUGUUUGUCCAGGUCCAGGUUUAGCCCGGUCCCCGUUCUCUGAAACUACAAGCCCGACCCGAAGAAAGAUAGCAGGUCCCGGUCCCGGUCCUUGUAAAUCCAGUGCUGGUCUGGGACCGUGCCCAGCCCUACCUCUGAGCAAUCAUGUAUGCAGUCUCUCAAUGGGGCAGAAUUUAAUAUAGUGCUUGCGAUUGCUAGAGCAAGGACGUAAGACUCUUUUUAUAGGCAUUAUAGGGCUUAGUACCUCCCAUAGAGGAUUCUAAGUCCUAGUUAAUAUAGGCAUUCAUCAACAUGUCAUGUACAUCUGGGAGAUAUUUAUGAUACAAGUAAUGGCCAAAAUAUGUAUUGUAUCCA